GAUUCAUUUGUUCCUCGCCAUCGUUCUCAGUGAUGGACUUACGGUGGCGGCGGCGGCGGCUCUCCCUGAUCCAAUCUCAUCAGGUGCAACGACGGCUUCCUCUCUCCCUCACAGUUUGAUUCCAGCAGACGGAGCGGCAGCGACGGCUUCCUCUCCCCUCUCGCGGUUCUACCCUUCCUGAUCCCUCCUCCAUUGGUGCUUUGGCAAACACCUCCGAUCCGUUGACAGCUGCAGUAGAUGUCCACUUCAAUCAGGCUAUAUGGAGUGGGUCUGCAGCAAUUUAAGGCACCAGAGUUCAAUGGCAUCUGCACCAUUUAGGUGGAAGAGGGCUGUGUUUGCAUCGCCAUCACUGAGCCAGGAGAUGCGAGACCUACUCCUUGCAUUGGUUCGCUGCAGCGAAGCGAGGGCCAAAGAUUGCGGCUUGAGCUUGUUGCGCAGCCAUCGUUCCUGACCAGAAAGGCCACGAGUGUCUUCAGCAAUUUCCAGUUGAUGCAGAACCUCUCUUGCUAGCUCGAGCUGGGAGCUGAUGUGUCCUACUGUUCUUUGGCUCCAACUUUGCAAAGCCCGUACUGUGGCCUUGAACUUUCUUGCCAGCGUGUCGAAAGGACAGGAGGAGCGUUCCACAGAUGACCAGCCAGCUUCAACAACUUCAAGAAAUCCUUCCAGCUGGGUCCAAUAGGACUCGAAAUGAAACCUGGCCUUGCCCGGGUGAACAUCAUGCAGCCCAAGUAGGAGUGGACAAUGAUCCGAGCCCUCAGUAGCGUAGCUUUGGAGUAGACAGUUAGGGAAAAGUUGUUCCCAAUCAGCUGAGCACAACAUUCUAUCAAGUUUGACUAGGUGUUGGGUUGUCUGGCUGAUUUGACCACGUGAAUUGUCUGCCAAGCAUAGGCAGUUCCUUCAAUUAAAGAUCAUUGAUUAGGCGCCUAAAUCUGCCCA